rnacentral:rRNA from 1 species
CUACGGGUGGCUCCAGUCGAGAAUCAUUCGCAAUGCGCGAAAGCGUGACGAUGCGACGCUGCGUGGAGGAUGAAGGCCCUCGGGUCGUAAACUCCUGUCAGGAGGGAAAAGCCGGCACUUGGUCAAUACCCUUGUGCCCCGAUGGUACCUCCAGAGGAAGCCACGGCUAACUCUGUGCCAGCGAGCCGCGGUAAUACAGAGGUGGCGAGCGUUGUUCGGAUUUACUGGGCGUAAAGGGUGCGUAGGCGGCGUGCAAAGCUGGAUGUGAAAUCCCGGGGCUCAACCCCGGAACUGCAUCCGGAACUGGAAUGCUAGAGACCAGGAGGGGAGAGCAGAAUUCUAGGUGUAGCGGUGAAAUGCGUUGAUAUCUAGAAGAAUACCGGUGGCGAAGGCGGCUCUCUGGAAUGGUUCUGACGCUGAGGCACGAAAGCGUGGGGAGCAAACAGGAUUAGAUACCCGCGUAGUC